GGGCCAAGAGGAUGAUCAGAGGGCUGGAACACCUUUCCUGUGACGACAGGCUUGGAAAGUUGAGGUUAUUCAGCUUGGAGAAAAAAAAGGCCAGCUUGAAUGGGGCUUUGGGCAGCUAGAUCUAUUGGGAGGUGUCCUUGCCCAUGGUGUAGCUAGAUGAUCUUUAAGGUCCCUUCCAACCCAAACCAUUCUGUCAUUCUGUGGUUCUUUGUUUCUAUGAUUCUAUGAUCUGUCCUGUUAAUGAGCUGCUAGGUUCUUUCAGAUCCAAGCUCCGGUGUAUGUGUUUCAGUAGAGAGGCAAUGUACCUAAAUGUAAACAUAUUUACAAUUUGACUGUGUUUCUGGGCUGGACAUGUCCACUCCCAUCUCUCUAUGUGUGUCCUGCUUUCCAGUCACAUAUGCUGCCAGCUGUUGAAUGUUCUGUGAGUCAGCCUAACACUCACCUGGGUGUUUUGUUUUGCCACAGCAAACUCCAGUAGACAAACCAUGUGAGAGAAACAGCGCAAUCUCUGAUUGCCAGAGCCAUGGUAGCAAGAGUCCUAAUGUGACUGUAACACGGAAGCUGCACCUUUGCAUGUAAAACUUGUUCCAUCUAGUCUCUGUGGGAUUGUUACACUGGUUGAGAAGCACAGGUGUCAAUAAUAUACAGUAAUGGGCAUUAAUGAGCACCUCUGUAAUGAGGCAAGAUGACAAAAUGUGGGAGGAGAAGAAAAGCAUACAUGUGAGCAGUCUGCAUUUAGGAGUUAAGAGAAAUGACCCAGUAGGACAGCAACUCUCAUCUCUAUUGGUUGGUCACCUCCAGCUUCUGAGCCCAUGUGAAUUUUGUUCCUCAUGGAAAUGUUGCUUCACCUGCAAGUCUGACUGUAAUUUAAUGCAUGUUUACCAUGGUCAUUGUAGCUACUCUGUGCAAAUAUCUCUGUGUUGGUGAAGGUGGUAACUCAGGCUGCUUCACAAGUGGAGAGUGAUCUUAAGUAACAAAUAAAAAUAUUUCGUAGGUAAGAAAUGAGUCUCCU
rnacentral:lncRNA from 1 species